AUGGAAGAAGAAAUUGCCGCACUCAUCAUUGACAAUGGCUCCGGCAUGGGCAAAGCUGGCUUUGCUGGCGAUGACGCCCCCAGGGCCGUGUUUCCUUCAAUCAUCGGGCACCCCCGACACCAGGGCAUCAUGGUGGGCAUGGGCCAGAAAGACUCCAAUGUGAGUGACGAGGCCCAGAGCAAGAGAGGUAUCCUGACCCUGAAGUAUCCUAUCGAGCACGGCAUUGUCACCAACUGGGAUGACAUGGAGAAGAUCUGGCAUCACACUUUCUACAAUGAACUGUGUGUGGCCCCUGAGGAGCACCUGGUGCUUCUGACCAAGGCCCCCCUGAAUCCCAAAGCUAACAGAGAAAAGAUGAUGCAGAUAAUGUUUGAAACCUUCACCCCAGUCAUCUAGUGGCCAUUCAGGCGGUGCUGUCCCUGUAUGCAUCUGGGCUCACCACUGGCAUGGUCAUGGACUCUGGUGACGGGGUCACACACACUGUGCCCAUCUACGAGGGCUACGCCCUGCCCCAUGCCAUCUUGCGUCUGGACCUGGCUGGCCGGGACCUGACAGACUACCUCAUGAAGAUCCUGACUGAGAGGGGCUAUAGCUUCACCACCACGGCCGAGCGAGAAAUUGUGCGCGCAUUAAGGAGAAGCUGUGCUACGUUGCCCUGGAUUUUGAACAAGAAAUGGCUACUGCUGCAUCGUCCUCUUCCUUGGAGAAGAGCUAUGAGCUGCCUGAUGGGCAGGUGAUCACCAUCGGCAAUGAGCGCUUCCAGUGUCCAGAGGCGCUCUUCCAGCCUUCCUUCGUGGGCAUGGAGUCCUGUGGCAUCCACGAGACCACCUUCAACUCCAUCAUGAAGUGUGAUGUGGAUAUCCGCAAGGACCUGUAUGUCAACACAGUGCUGUCUGGUGGAACCACCAUGUAUCCAGGCAUUGCUGACAGGAUGCAGAAGGAGAUCACCGCCCUAGCACCCAGCACAAUGAAGAUUAAGAUCAUGGCUCCCCCUGAGUGCAAGUACUCAGUCUGGAUUGGCGGCUCCAUUCUGGCCUCACUGUCCACGUUCUAGCAGAUGUGGAUCAGCAAGCAGGAGUAUGACGAGUCGGACCCCUCCAUCGUCUACCGCAAAGACUUCUAGAUGGACUGAGCAGGUGCCAGGCAUCUGCUGCAUGAGCUAAUUCUGAAGUAUCAAUUUGCCCUGGCAAAUGUACACACCUCAUUAGCUAGCCUCAUGAAACUGGAAUAAUCCUUUGAAAAGAAAUUUGUCCUUGAAGCUUGUAUCCAAUAUCAGCACUGGAUCGUAGAACUUGUUGCUGAUUUUUGACCUUGUAUUCAAGUUAACUGUUCCCUUGGUAUAUGUUUAAUACCCUGUGCAUAUCUUGAUUUAGUCCUUAGUCCUGUGACUCGGUCACUUGGUGGCUGGGGAGAGCACAGCUGUGGCGGAGAACCCCAGCCUGGUGGAUCUGUGAAUCACCAUGCAGUGAUCUGUGCAGGGAUUAAAACCAACAGCUGACUUCCAGGAUUUCUAGAGGCUGGCAAGGGUUCCUGAACCAGUUACCACUUCCGUCUUGCCGGUUUAACUGUGGGAAAGUCCGAACCUUAGGACCCAGGUUCCGUUCUGGUGUUUCCCUCCUGACCGCCGUGGGUUGUUACUUGACUUGAGUUGGGAAAGUUUGCAUUGACACCUGUAAAUGUAUUCAUUCUUUUAAUUUAUGUAAGGUUUUUUUGUACUCAAUUCUUUUAAGAAAUGACAAAUUUUGGUUUUCUACUGUUCAGUGAGAACAUUAGGCCCCAGCAACACGUCAUUGUGUAAAGGAAAUGAAAGUGCUGCAGU